rnacentral:rRNA from 1 species
UACAGAGGUCUCAAGCGUUGUUCGGAUUCAUUGGGCGUAAAGGGUGCGUAGGCGGCGCGGUAAGUCGGGUGUGAAAUCUCGGAGCUUAACUCCGAAACUGCAUUCGAUACUGCCGUGCUUGAGGACUGGAGGAGGAGACUGGAAUUUACGGUGUAGCGGUGAAAUGCGUAGAUAUGCCGGGAGGAACACCGAUGGCGAAGGGC